rnacentral:rRNA from 1 species
GACAGAGGGUGCAAACGUUGCUCGGAAUUACUGGGCGUAAAGGGCGCGUAGGCGGCCACCGCAAGUCGACUGUGAAAUCUCCGGGCUUAACCCGGAAAGGUCAAUCGAUACUGCGGGGCUAGAGUGCAGAAGGGGCAACUGGAAUUCUCGGUGUAGCGGUGAAAUGCGUAGAUAUCGAGAGGAACACCUGCGGCGAAGGCGGGUUGCUGGGCUGACACUGACGCUGAAGCGCGAAAGCUAGGGGAGCGAACGGG